rnacentral:lncRNA from 1 species
AUUGUGUUGGGACACUUUCAGAGUAAGUCCCGAAGACACUUCAUGAUCUAGAGAAAUACUGACUGAAAUGCCAACGCACUCAAUUGUGAUUCUUUGCUUUCUCUGUCAAAGAGAACUUCAACUGUAUUUGGGACUGAAGACAAUAAUACAACACAAGAGAGAGAGAGAGAAAAGGUUUGCUACUACUCUUUGCUAGGUUCUUCAGAGGAAUCACCUACUUCACACGUGUAACUAGCUCAAGUGGAGGGAAAAGUGAGGAAGCCAGAAGGGGGAAGCGCAGGUUUCCCAGGGCAGCCUCGUGGCAUUUCUCUGUGAAUAGGUAAAAAGGAGAUGAGAGUAAUUCAAGCUAAGGGAGCAAACAGCAGGGACAGAGCGUCCCUCCCUCCCUGUCUGUAGAAAUCAGCAGAUAGCACACCUGCUGCUGCUCAAGCUCCCUCUGCCAAGCAGAGCAGCACAGCUGCAAGACACUGCUUCUGGCCGGCUGCUCUGAGCUCUGCCUGUCUUCUGGGAUGGAGCCCCGCCCAAGGCAAGUUCAACUGGGUUCUUUGGCAGCUGAAGUCUACACGGACCCAGCAGGGAGCGGCGGAGAAAAAGGUUUGGAUCCAGGGAAUCUUCAGAGAAGUACAAAAGGCUCCUGCCAAGGCACCAAUUUAACAAUUUGAUUCUGGAAGCCACCUGCAUUCCUUGGUUUGUAUCCCUGUCCCCCAUCCUCAAAGCCAGCAAAGAUUUCUGAAUCUCUCCAAACAUCUGUUUUCUUCAUUCUGAAAUAAGGACAGAAAUUAAAGGGAUGUUGGGAAGCAAAGUAUCUGAUGCGGCUCACCAAGGAGUGAAAAUAUGUUUUGGAUGAACCAUUCACAUAUUUCAACCUGGUGCUCCUUGUGGCUGUUCCAAGAGACCAAAGACACAUUUUUGAGGGCGAUGUUACUGGUCACAUGUAGAGUAGGAGGCCAAGUGGACAUAUCUUUGAAUGGAGUUUAUGCUAGAAAGUCAUUAUUAGAUUGUUUGCUUCUGAUAUGAAGGGUUCUUAAUGAGUGGUUUGCAAAAUUGAUUCUAGUUAUUUUUCAGUCAGUUUAAAAUCAGUAACAAAGAU